GAAGCAGGCCGCCUUAUCGCUACCCCGAAUUAAAGCGGGAUAGAGGAAAGUCUGGACACCAUAGGGCAGCAUAGUGGGUAACGCCCACCGGUCGUGAGGCCAGGACUAGUGCAACAGAAAGGAUGUACAGGUAAUGCUGUAGUGAAAUCAUGUAAACUCUAUGCGGUGCAAUGCCAUGUAUACCGGCAUUUAAGGGUAGCCCGCCCGUUGCUGGAGGGUAGGCAGCUAAAGGUCUUUGGUAACAAAUGAUCUGAGAUAAAUGAUAAGGUAUUUUUGAAGCAAUUCAAAAAUAACAGAAUCCGGAUUACAGGCCUGCUUUUUUA
rnacentral:RNase_P_RNA from 1 species